AAGAAAGAAAAUGAUCAAAAUAAAUCAAUACAAUACUAAAAGGGGGAUAAUCUCAACUCUCAGCUAUGCCACGUCAUCAAAAAUAAUCCUCCAAUCAUAGCUCUUUAUUUUCGGGUUGGGCUUCGAAUCACAAUUGAAUGGGCUUUGUUUCACUUCCGGGUUAUGGGUCGAAUGUGUUUCGGUUUUGUCGUUGUUUUGGUUUUAUCUUUUAACUAAGCCUAGAUCUACGGAGACGAAGUCGCGAGUCUGCGAGUCUCUUCUCCUCAUCCCCAAUUCACUUCGUCUUCUCACUUUCAAACCGUAGCUUCUGAGUUUUUUCAUCCUAUUCUUCACAAUCAAUUUCGCAAUCAAUUUCUUCUUAGCGAAGGAGAUGAGGAAGAGAAGCGCGAGAAAGAGGAGAGCCGAGGCAGGGCCACCACUGGUGCCCGACCCGAGAGAGGAAAUUGGAGGCGAGGAGGUAGAUGUGGGGACGCUUGGUCUUGGAUUCGUCGGCGCCGGAUUCGCCGGGAUAAGAGAGAUCGGCGUCGGAGUGAGGACGGCGGAAGGAGACAGCGCGAUCGAGCAUCGUCGUCGCGUUGGCCCGUAAACCCAUUAACGAGACCUAAUCAGAGAGCGCACCACCAAACCGUCACGAGGAUCUCUAUCUCCUUCUCUGUUGCGCAGGAGACGAUCUCCAUCUCUAUUCGUCCUUUCCGAACUUGAGAAACGUGAACGGAGAUGGUACCUUUGUCAUUAUCUCAACAUAAUCUCUGGCCGCCGGAAUCUGUAUCUACGAUGUUUCGGGGUUACGCAACCGCCACAUCGAAACACGCCUGCGACCAUCUUCGCCGUCACCUCCGGCUUAGCUUCCAUAUCCGCUCUUCCCUUCAGAUACUGCUGCAAGUCUAUGAGACUGCACGAACGGAGUUCUCAAGAAGAGUCGUUGUAUUCAACAGGGCUAAGUUUCUUCACUCCAGAGAUGAUAUCAGAUCUUCGUUAUCUGUAUGUUUCUUUAGUGGAUGAGAGAGUAGGAUAGGUCCUAGAGGUGAGGAGGGGUCAUCAUCAAACCAGGAGACAUCCAAGAGAAACACAAGCAGUGGACGAAGGUGGACCAAUGUCCUCCUUGCCGUUAACGUUAGAAUGUAUAUUGCACAAGUUGCAUCCAAUGGUAGAGUGCUGACAUGGGGGCCAAGAUAAAACGUUGUUUGUUCUCUUCUCACCGCUUGCUCGAAACAGCUCAACGUUGGCUGCAACUCUUACUUGGGACAAUGAGCUGUCUUGGAUGCUGGAGAAUACUACUGAAGAACUUAAAGAGACUAUGCUUUAGGUUUCUUCUGUUGUUAUGAGGUUACGUAUAGGCUCUAGGAUUAUAUGUUCUUAGCAAGAAUUAUGUUCCCACAAAAGGAUCGCAUUACAUUGCUGUAAAGAAGGCUUUGGAGAUGAUUAAGCAAAAUAUUUCAUCUCUUAGUAAGAGUGAAGGGCAUGAUGCUUAUCACUUCUCUCUGCAACUAACUGGUGCACCAGCUCUUAUCGGGAACACGAUAUGUAUAUAAGUAGUCUCUUGGUGAAUUAUGUUUGAUUCACAUAUCUUGAAGAAAUUUUUGUUAAAGAUAUUUGCAUUUUGUUUGACAUACAUCUUUGUGCAAUCACCUGAGAGGAUUUUCCAAAGGAACCGGUUAGGCGUCCGCAGUGAAGCUUUGACUGCAACUAGGCCUCGAGCUGCUUCAACUGCGUGUGAUAUCGAGAUAUAGCAUGACUUACUAACCAGUCUAUAUGUGAGAAAAAAACUGUGAAGAAGCUUGCAAGAUUGCAGCACCUAUAUUCUCAAUUGGCGGAGAAGCUGAAGAGAGAAGAUGACAAGUUUAACGUCAUCUUGGCUGCUCUGCAUCCAACUCCAGCUGUUUGUGUGCUUCCAGCAGAAGAAGCCAGACUUUUGAUCAAGGAAAUUGGUGAAAUAUUAGCUGUUUGUAACAUAUUUUUAUAAAUGCACUUCUCUACAACCAGAGCCAAACCGGUCAGAUUGUAAGCUUGCCUCAUCUCUGGGAAGAGGAGCUCAUGUCCUAAACUAAAGAAUUUUUCAUUAUGUUGCAGUAUCUGUAUCUGUUUUUUUUUUCCAUCAUAUCCACCAUCAACUAACUUGAGUAUAGAUGUUCCGAAACAAUAA